GUGAAAUUGUUGAAAGGGAAGCGCUUGCAAUCAGACUUGCGUGCGGUUGAUCAUCCGGGCUUCUGCCCGGUGCACUCGAUCGUACUCAGGCCAGCAUCGGUUUGGGCGGUUGGAUAAAGGCCUUGGGAAUGUGGCUCCUCUCGGGGAGUGUUAUAGCCCUCGGUGCAAUGCAGCCUGUCCGGACCGAGGACCGCGCUUCGGCUAGGAUGCUGGCGUAAUGGUUGUAAGCGACCCGUCUUGAAACACGGACCAAGGAGUCUAACAUCUAUGCGAGUGUUUGGGUGUCAAACCCAUGCGCGUAAUGAAAGUGAACGGAGGUGAGAACCCUUAAGGGUGCAUCAUCGACCGAUCCUGAUGUCUUCGGAUGGAUUUGAGUAAGAGCAUAGCUGUUGGGACCCGAAAGAUGGUGAACUAUGCCUGAAUAGGGUGAAGCCAGAGGAAACUCUGGUGGAGGCUCGCAGCGGUUCUGACGUGCAAAUCGAUCGUCAAAUUUGGGUAUAGGGGCGAAAGACUAAUCGAACCAUCUAGUAACUGGUUCCUGCCGAAGUUUCCCUCAGGAUAGCAGUGUUGAAUUCAGUUUUAUGAGGUAAAGCGAACGAUUAGAGGCCUUGGGGUUGAAACAACCUUAACCUAUUCUCAAACUUUAAAUAUGUAAGAAGUCC
rnacentral:rRNA from 1 species